rnacentral:snoRNA from 1 species
UUUCACUGUGGCAACUGUGAUGAAAGAUUUGGUCUGUAUGUAAUAGAUUUUAUUACUAAAUGAGGACAACAGUCCCUCUAAACUGAUGUUGCCAUUUAAAA